GAUGAACGCUGGCGGCGUGCCUAAUACAUGCAAGUCGAGCGAACAGACGAGGAGCUUGCUCCUCUGACGUUAGCGGCGGACGGGUGAGUAACACGUGGAUAACCUACCUAUAAGACUGGGAUAACUUCGGGAAACCGGAGCUAAUACCGGAUAAUAUAUUGAACCGCAUGGUUCAAUAGUGAAAGACGGUUUUGCUGUCACUUAUAGAUGGAUCCGCGCCGCAUUAGCUAGUUGGUAAGGUAACGGCUUACCAAGGCAACGAUGCGUAGCCGACCUGAGGGGGUGGUGGGCCACACUGGAAGGGAGGCGAGGCGCAGACUCCUACGGGAGGAAGCAGUAGGGAAGGUUAGGGAAUGGGGGAAGGCCGGAUGGAGCAACGCCGGGGGGGUGAUGAAGGUCUUCGGAUCGUAGAACUCUGUUAUCGGGGAAGAAGAAAGGUGUAAGUAACUAUGCGGGGUUGGACGGUACCUAAUCAGAAAGCGACGGCUAACUACGUG
rnacentral:rRNA from 1 species